rnacentral:rRNA from 1 species
GACGAACGCUGGCGGCGUGCUUAACACAUGCAAGUCGAACGGAAAGGCCCUGCUUUUGUGGGGUGCUCGAGUGGCGAACGGGUGAGUAACACGUGAGUAACCUGCCCUUGACUUUGGGAUAACUUCAGGAAACUGGGGCUAAUACCGGAUAUGAGCUCCUGCUGCAUGGUGGGGGUUGGAAAGUUUCGGCGGUUGGGGAUGGACUCGCGGGUUACCAGCUUGUUGGUGGGGUAGUGGCUUACCAAGGCUUUGACGGGUAGCCGGCCUGGGAGGGUGGCCGGCCACAUUGGGACUGCGGUACGGCCCAGAAUCCUACGGGAGGCAGCAGGGGGGAAUAUUGCACAAUGGGCGGAAGCCUGAUGUGGCAACGCCGCGUGCGGGAUGACGGCCUUCGGGUUGUAAACCGCUUUCGCCUGUGACGAAGCGUGAGUGACGGUAAUGGGUAAAGAAGCACCGGCUAACUACGUG